rnacentral:rRNA from 1 species
CCCCAAAAAAAGACCAUCCCAGUUCGGAUUGUACUCUGCAACCCGAGUACAUGAAGCUGGAAUCGCUAGUAAUCGCGAAUCAGAAUGUCGCGGUGAAUACGUUCCCGGGUCUUGUACACACCGCCCGUCACACCAUGGGAGAUGGAUAUGCCCAAAGUCAGUGACCUAACCGCAAGGGAGGAGCUGCCUAAGGUGGAGCCAUUAACUGGGGUGAAGUCGUAACAAGGUAGC